rnacentral:rRNA from 1 species
AGUGAACGCUGGCGGUAGGCCUAACACAUGCAAGUCGAACGGCAGCACAGUAAGAGCUUGCUCUUACGGGUGGCGAGUGGCGGACGGGUGAGGAAUACAUCGGAAUCUACUUUUUCGUGGGGAUAACGUAGGGAAACUUACGCUAAUACCGCAUACGACCUACGGGUGAAAGCAGGGGAUCUUCGGACCUUUCGCGAUUGAAUGAGCCGAUGUCGGAUUAGCUAGUUGGCGGGGUAAAGGCCCACCAAGGCGACGAUCCGUAGCUGGUCUGAGAGGAUGAUCAGCCACACUGGAACUGAGACACGGUCCAGACUCCUACGGGAGGCAGCAGUGGGGAAUAUUGGACAAUGGGCGCAAGCCUGAUCCAGCCAUACCGCGUGGGUGAAGAAGGCCUUCGGGUUGUAAAGCCCUUUUGUUGGGAAAGAAAAGCAGCAGGUUAAUACCCCGCUGUUCUGACGGUACCCAAAGAAUAAGCACCGGCUAACUUCAUG